rnacentral:rRNA from 1 species
GACGAACGCUGGCGGCGUGCUUUACACAUGCAAGUCGAACGGUAAGGCCCUGUUUUUUUGUGGUGCUUGAGUGGCGAACGGGUGAUUAACACGUGAGUAACCUGCCCUUGACUUUGGGAUAACUUCAGCUAACUUGGUCUCACACCGGAUAUGAGCUCCUGCUCCAUGGUGGGGGCUGGAAAGUUUCGGCUGUUGCGGUUGGACUCGCGGCUUAUCAGCUUGUUGGUUGGUUAGUGGCUUACCUACGCUUUGGCGGGUAGCCGGCAUGUGUGGGUGACCGGCGACAAGGGGACUGAGAGACGGAGCAGACGGCAACGGGAGGCAGCAGUGGGGAGUAUUGCACAGUGGGCGGGAGCGUGAGGAAGAGACGCCGCGGGUGGGAUGAGGGCCUGCGAGGUGUAAAACGCUUUCGGCUGUGACGAAGCGUGAGUGACGGUAAUGGGUAAAGAAGCACCGGCUAACUACGUG